rnacentral:lncRNA from 10 species
CUCAUAUACUUAAGGUGAUUAUUUACUUAUUGUUAUUCAAUGUAACAUUUUUAGAAAGUUAUCUUUAGCCCAGUUGCAAUAGGAAUAUUUUUUGUUACUUACAUAAGGGGAUUAAGACUCAGGCUAUAAGGCCUGGGUAUGGUGGCUCAUGCCUAUAAUCCCAGCACUUUGGGAGGCUGAGACAAGAGAAUUGCUUGAGCCCAGGAGUUUGAGACCAGCCUGGGCAACAUAGUGAGACCCUGUCUCUAACAAAACUAAAAUUAGCUGGUCAUGUUGGUGCACAUCUGUAGUUCCAGUUACUCAGGAGGCUGAGG